rnacentral:lncRNA from 1 species
AUCCACACUCCAUAUCGCUUUUUACGACUGCUAAGUAAUAAAUUUCUCACUUCAUUCACUUUUAGGACACAUUAUGCUGCCACAUGUGUGGCAGAUUUGCUUUUGAAAAGUAAAGAAUGUGACACCAAUGAUAAAUUUCUAUGCAUCUGCUUGCAAAUAAUGCUCAGUGGUGAUGACCUUGUAGAAAGACAGCGAGUCCAGGAGAUAAUCUGGGCAAUACAUCUUUCCAAUUUUUUCUCUAGGACAGGCAGCCAGAAUGACAUCCAGUGCCUUUGGUGCUGCCCAAUAACCAUAAUCCUUCCAAGUCCAGUGAAAAAUGCAGCUGGCCGGCUUUGUGAGAAUCCUUCCUGUGGUGGGAUUCUCAAGCAGCGAGAGUCACCAAAACCACUGACCUUUGCAGAAAGUGUAUUUGGUAGAGGUGCAGGCUGUGGUCACUUGUGGGCAACAUUGGUCUCCAGUUGCUUCAGUGAACUUUUGCCAUCAGAGUCCUCCAGUUUGCAUCACCAGGCAGCACUUGUGGUCCCUUGGUCUAAAUGA